rnacentral:rRNA from 1 species
GGCGGUUCGCCGCCGGCGACGUCGCGAGAAGUUCACUGAACCUUAUCAUUUAGAGGAAGGAGAAGUCGUAACAAGGUUUCCGUAGGUGAACCUGCGGAAGGAUCAUUGUCGAAACCUGCUAAAGCAGAACAACCCGCGAACUUGUUUUCACCAUGAUGGGGGAGGGGUUGCCGUCCUGUCGGUCCCUCCCUUAAGCUGGGAGCAGUCAUAAGGACGGCCCACUGGCAUAACAACAAACCCCGGCGUGCUAUGCGCCAAGGAACAUGAACCAUAGUCUGCCAGCCCUCGGCCCGGGUCCUCGGUGCGGGGGUGAGGCGGCAUAAUGAAGUCGUAGAACGACUCUCGGCAACGGAUAUCUCGGCUCUCGCAUCGAUGAAGAACGUAGCAAAAUGCGAUACUUGGUGUGAAUUGCAGAAUCCCGUGAACCAUCGAGUUUUUGAACGCAAGUUGCGCCCGAAGCCUUCGGGCCAGGGCACGUCUGCCUGGGCGUCACGCACAGCGUCUCCCCCACUCACCAAGCGUGGGACGGGAGAGGAUGAUGGCCUCCCAUGCUCACACUGCGUGGUUAGCCUAAAUAAGGAGCCCAUGCCCACUUGAUGCCGCGGCUAUUGGUGGUAUAAAUGCAUCCUACAUGGAUGCAGGGGCCGUGCAUCCGGUGGUCAGUGCGGACUCGUCGGACCCUUGAAAACCUUUGCGACCCCAGGUCAGGCGGGAUUACCCGCUGAGUUUAA